GGACCUUUAGCUCAGCUGGUUAGAGCAAUCGGCUCAUAACCGAUCGGUCCCGGGUUCGAGUCCCUGAAGGUCCAC
rnacentral:tRNA from 5 species